rnacentral:tRNA from 1 species
CACAUCCUCUAAAACCUU